rnacentral:rRNA from 1 species
AUUGAACGCUGGCGGCAUGCUUUACACAUGCAAGUCGAACGGUAACAGGCCGCAAGGUGCUGACGAGUGGCGAACGGGUGAGUAAUGCAUCGGAACGUGCCCAGUCGUGGGGGAUAACGCAGCGAAAGCUGUGCUAAUACCGCAUACGAUCUAUGGAUGAAAGCGGGGGACCGUAAGGCCUCGCGCGAUUGGAGCGGCCGAUGUCAGAUUAGGUAGUUGGUGGGGUAAAGGCCCACCAAGCCAACGAUCUGUAGCUGGUCUGAGAGGACGACCAGCCACACUGGGACUGAGACACGGCCCAGACUCCUACGGGAGGCAGCAGUGGGGAAUUUUGGACAAUGGGCGCAAGCCUGAUUCAGCAAUGCCGCGUGCAGGAAGAAGGCCUUCGGGUUGUAAAAUGCUUUUGUACGGAACGAAACGGUCCGGGCUAGUACCCUGGGCUAAUGACGGUACCGUAAGAAUAAGCACCGGCUAACUACGUGCCAGCCGCCGCGGUAACAC